AACGUAGGAGGCAAGCGUUAUCCGGAGUUACUGGGCGUAAAGCGUGCGUAGGCGGGAGCGUAAGUGGGUGGUGAAAGCGCCCGGCUAAACCGGGCGAGGACCAUUCAGACUGCGUUUCUAGAGGCGGAUAGAGGGGUGCGGAAUUCCGGGUGUAGCGGUGAAAUGUGUAGAGAUCCGGAGGAACACCAGUGGUGCAAACGGCGCCCUGGGUCCGAACUGACGCUGAAGCACGAAAGCGUGGGGAGCGAACGGG
rnacentral:rRNA from 1 species